GUGGGGAAUCUUCCGCAAUGGACGAAAGUCUGACGGAGCAACGCCGCGUGAGUGAAGAAGGUUUUCGGAUCGUAAAGCUCUUUCGUUAGGGACGAACGUGCUCUUUGUGAAUAAUGAGGAGUAAUGACGGUACCUAAAUAAGAAGCCACGGCUAACUACGUGCCAGCAGCCGCGGUAAUACGUAGGUGACAAGCGUUGUCCGGAAUUAUUUGGCGUAAAGCGCGCGCAGGCGGGAUAUCAAGUCUGUCUUAAAAGUGCGAGGCUCAACCUCGUGAGGGGACAGAAACUGGUAUUCUUGAGUGUCGGAGAGGAAAGUGGAAUUCCAAGGGUAGCGGUGAAAUGCGUAGAGAUUUGGAAGAACACCAGUGGCGAAGGCGACUUUCUGGACGAUGUCUGACGCUGAGGCGCGAAAGCUAGGGGAGCGAAUGGGAUUAGAAACCCCGGUAGUCC
rnacentral:rRNA from 1 species